rnacentral:rRNA from 1 species
AGUGAACGCUGGCGGUAGGCCUAACACAUGCAAGUCGAACGGCAGCACAGUAAGAGCUUGCUCUUACGGGUGGCGAGUGGCGGACGGGUGAGGAAUACAUCGGAAUCUACUUUUUCGUGGGGGAUAACGUAGGGAAACUUACGCUAAUACCGCAUACGACCUACGGGUGAAAGCAGGGGAUCUUCGGACCUUGCGCGAUUGAAUGAGCCGAUGUCGGAUUAGCUAGUUGGCGGGGUAAAGGCCCACCAAGGCGACGAUCCGUAGCUGGUCUGAGAGGAUGAUCAGCCAAAUUGGAACUGAGACACGGUCCAGACCCCUACGGGAGGCAGCAGUGGGGAAUAUUGGACAAUGGGCGCAAGCCGGAUCCAGCCAUCCCGGGUGGGGGAAGAAGGCCUUCGGGUUGAAAAGCCCUUUUGUGGGGAAAAAAAAGAAGCAGGUUAAAACCCCGCUGUUCUGACGGUACCAAAAGAAUAAGCACCGGCUAACUUCGU